rnacentral:lncRNA from 1 species
AUAACAGAGUACAACAUUAAAAACCAGAAAAUUAUUUUUAAACAUGGCUAGAAAAGAGCAUGUUUGUCUUGCCAGUUGAGUUUGUCUUUAGUGAUUUGAAAAAUAUUUUCGUUCAAGAUUGGCAAAUAUAUGAGUUGUGAUUCCUCUCCCCUCUGUCUCUUUGUUUAGUGAUCUUUCAUGUAUUCUGAUUUGUUUUGAAUAAAGCUACCAGCUACUCUUCACUUCUUUUCUUUUGUUUCUGGUUUAAGGUUCCAAACCAGUUAAAGUAAUUUAUAUUAACUCACCACUUCCCCAGAAGAAAAUGACAAUGAGAGAAAGAAAUCAAAUUUUCCAUGAAGUUCCAUUAAAAUUUAUGAUGUCCAAAACCACAUCUGUUCCAGUCUCUGCAGUAUUUAUGGACAAACCUGAAGAGUGUAUAUCUGAAAUGGAAACAUCCAGUGAAGUUAAUGAGUGCCGAAAAAUUGAGACUCUUGAAAAUUUGGAUCUGGAUUUUGAUGAUGAUGUCACAGAACUUGAAACUUUUGGAGUAACUACUACCAAACCAUCAAAGUCACCAAGUCCAGCAAAUACUUCCACGGUACCCAUCUUGACUGAUUCCACAGCUCCCAAAGCAGCAGCUACACCUGUAGCACCAUCUGCACCAGACAUUUCUGCUAAUUCUAGAAGUUUAACUCAGAUUCUAAUGGAACAAUUGCAGAAGGAGAAACAACUGGUCACUGGUAUGGAAAGUGGCCCUGAAGAAUGCAAAAAUAAAGAUGAUCAGGGAUGUGUACCAUGUGGUGAAACGGUAACCAGUUCUGACAAGUCUUUGAUGCAAGAUAAUGACUUGAAAACAUCUAAUGCCUUACAGUUUGAAAAUUCCAAGGAAAUUGAAAACUCUAAUGAAAAUGAUAUGACUACAGAUACAGUAUAUACCAAAGAUGAAAGACUGAAUGUUCUAGAUAACAUAGACAAUUCAAAGGAAAAGUCUUCUACAUCAGAAACAACUAAAACUGAAAAAGUAAUUCCUUGCAGUAGUGAUACAGAUGAGGACUGUUUAAUCAUUGAUACACAGUGUGAAAAUAAUA